rnacentral:snRNA from 1 species
GGAUGUGCAGGUGAUCUGGCUGUGACAUCUGCUACCCCAUUAAUUGCCAGGGUUGAUUCAGCUGAUCUGACUGCUAGGCAGGUGUCCCCAUCCUCCCUCAAUGAUCCAUGUGCAUCUCUCCUGAAGCUGUAUGCUCAGUCGAAGAGGAUGACCACCCCCGAUAGAGGAGGACUGUUCCUCGGUCAGGGGUAUACGAGUAGCUGCGCUCCCCUGCUAGAACCUCCAAACAAGCUCUCAAAACAUAUCAAAUAUCAUAGGUCAGUGGUCUUUUUUAAUUCAUUUCAAUGAGAAAAAAAGAUAAAAUAGCAAUGAAGCAGUUU